rnacentral:tRNA from 1 species
GGGCAUUUGGUCUAGUGGUAUGAUUCUCGCUUUAGGUGUGAGAGGUCCCGAGUUCAAUUAUCGGAAUACCCC